GAUGAACGCUAGCGGCAGGCCUAACACAUGCAAGUCGAGGGGUAGGGUUAGCUUGCUAACUUGAGACCGGCGCACGGGUGCGUAACGCGUAUGCAAUCUACCUUGUACAGGGGGAUAGCCCAGGGAAAUUUGGAUUAAUACCCCAUGGUGUUAUGAUGUGGCAUCACAUUAUAACUAAAGUUCCAACGGUACAAGAUGAGCAUGCGUCCCAUUAGCUAGUUGGUGUGGUAACGGCAUACCAAGGCAAUGAUGGGUAGGGGUCCUGAGAGGGAGAUCCCCCACACUGGUACUGAGACACGGACCAGACUCCUACGGGAGGCAGCAGUGAGGAAUAUUGGUCAAUGGGCGCAAGCCUGAACCAGCCAUGCCGCGUGCAGGAUGACGGUCCUAUGGAUUGUAAACUGCUUUUAUACGGGAAGAAACACUCCUACGUGUAGGAACUUGACGGUACCGUAAGAAUAAGGAUCGGCUAACUCCGUGCCAGCCACCGCGGUAA
rnacentral:rRNA from 1 species